rnacentral:rRNA from 1 species
AGAGAGAGACAUGCGCGCAUAUCAAUAAGCGGAGGAAAAGAAACUAACAAGGAUUCCCUUAGUAACGGCGAGUGAAGCGGGAAGAGCUCAAAUUUGAAAUCUUCAAGGUUCUACCUUGACGAAUUGUAGUUUAUAGAAGUGUUUUCUGUUAGUGGAGUGGCAAAAGUUCUUCGGAAUAGGACAUCAUAGAGGGUGAGAAUCCCGUAUUUGGUCAUUCCUCCUAGCGUUGUGAUACACUUCAACGAGUCGGAUUGUUUGGGAAUGCAGUCCAAAAUGGGUGGUAAAUUUCAUCUAAAGCUAAAUAUUGGCGAGAGACCGAUAGCGAACAAGUACCGUGAGGGAAAGAUGAAAAGAACUUUGAAAAGAGAGUUAAACAGUACGUGAAAUUGUCAAAAGGGAAGCGUUUGACACCAGUGUUGUUUUUCCGAAAAUCAAUUACGAAUGUUUUAGUUUUUGAGGAGUUAUGACUUCAUCGGCUUGCUCCUUUCUUUAUGAAACUUUCUUAAUGCACUUUUCGGUUAACAAGUCAACAUCAAUUUCUUUUGUUGUAAAAGGGUAUGAGGAAGGUGGCUUUCUUUUCGGAGAAAGUGUUUAUAGCCUUGUGCCUCUGACAAUCGGAGAGAUUGAGGUCUGCAGCGUAGAUCCUUCGGGGUUAGAUACGUAGAUGCUAAGUUAUAGUUUUUAUAGACAACUUGUUGACUAUGAUUAGUCAUGUAGCUUACUCGUUGACGCUAUUUUACCUACGCUUAGGAUGUUGAUAGUCACAGCGUGUAC